UACGUAGGGACCGAGCGUUGUCCGGAUUCAUUGGGCGUAAAGAGCUCGUAGGCGGCCACUCAAGUCGAAUGUGAAACCUCGAGGCUUAACCUCGAGCCUGCAUUCGAUACUGGGCGGCUAGAGUCUGGUAGGGGGAUCUGGAAUUCCUGGUGUAGCGGUGGAAUGCGCAGAUAUCAGGAGGAACACCGGUGGCGAAGGCGGCUCUCUGGGACGGUACUGACGCUGAGACGCGAAAGCGUGGGGAGCGAACAGG
rnacentral:rRNA from 1 species